CUCCGUCCUGCCAGAGCUUGCUGUCCCUUGCUAUCGCCCAGACGUUCACAAACACCUUGGUUCCUUUUGGGAUAUCGUAGCCCAUGACCUGACAUGUCUGGCGGCACUCUCGGGGCAGCAAGAGUGGCACCGGAGCAUGGAGCCUUAAGGUCUCCUUGAUCACCAGAUGCAGGUACCUUAACUUGACCAUGUCACCUUCAGUUAACUUGUCCUGUCCUUUGAAGGUCUCCCUCAACUCUGCCUGGGCCUUGUGCAUGACUCGCGGGUUCUUAACAAGCUCGGCCAUUGCCCAUACCAGCACGGUUGAUGACGUCUCACUCCCGGCAGAAAAUAUGUCCUACAAUACAAUGAUUGGAGAUUUAAUUUCCAUUUGGUUCAAACUAAAGUUGAAGCAAUUUACUCCUACAAGAUAAAUUGGAGGUAAAGCUGAUCUUACGAAAAUGACGGUGCUGACUAUCUCGUUGGUGAGAUCGAACUGCAG
rnacentral:lncRNA from 1 species